UGGACACAGCGUAAUUCUUGGCUUCCUCGGCCCCUACAUUCAGCUACCAUUUCCCAGACUGACCUGAGAAGCAGCUUGCUAUGGAGGCAGGUCUGGCAUCUGCUUCAAGAGCGACAUAUGGCUGGUGUUAAACACUGUCAGUUCUGCAGAGGUGAACCUAUACGCAUCCAGGACAGGAAGAGCUGAAUACACCGACUGUUUGUAAAUCCGACAUUUUUCCACACUGGCUUUGCUUGCUGAAAUGUGGCAGAAGUGAGGAACACAAAUCGGUUCUGCAAAACUCACAGAUGAAGAAACUGAGGUUCUGAGUGGUGAUGUGAUCAGAACAAGAAUGAACCACUGGCAGUACCCACUCUUCUCCACCAAAUCUUGCACCCCAGGCUGUUCCAGGUCUUGCCACAAAGUGAAAUUUGAAAACUGCAUAUGCAUUUGGCAGGAAAAUCACUCCUGGCCGAAAAAAAAUCAUCUCCUGGCUUGUUGAAAAGAACUCAUAUCUCAUACAACGAGGGCAUGAAGAAUGUUCGCUGAACAUAGGCUCAGAAUAGGUACCAAAGGAUGCUCUUCAGAGGACAUACUAGAGCACAAGGUUACAUGGAUGCAAGAACAUCUUAAUAAGGGAACCCAUUCCCUUGCAGACAAUGUUUCAGGAAAAAAAGUUGAACUCAUCCUGGUGUUUUCUAUUACAGAUGAGGCUGAGUGUAAACCAGAAGUUUCUAAAUUGAUUCACAUUUAAGACAGGGUUAUGUAAUAAUUUCAACUUUUUUCUUAUAUGAAAAGACUAGAUUUAAAAAUACAUCAUUAAAAUAUAUCACAUUUCAGAAGAAACUCAACUUUCAAGAUAACAUUUAACAGGAAAAAUACUUCCAUAAAAGUUUCUUAACAAUGCAACCGCUUUCUGAAAGUGCAUUGCAAGACAGGACAUUAUCCUGAUGAUUACAGGUACUGAAAAGCAGCAGCUUCAGAAACACUUCGCAAUUUGCAUUUGCGGAAGAUGCAUACAAAUUUAUUCUUUUGAUGAACUCUCUCUUUCCCAAGAUAUAUUUGGAUGAGGCAGUAGAACUGUAAGAGCACAGCUCUGUGCUCCGAGAUCAGUAUCAGAAAAGUGUACAAUACUGCCUUUUAAAGCAUUGCAUAUUUUUUUCCUUAACACUAAGUAACUAUUUUUUUCUUUAACUUUUAUUAAUACUCAUGGGCAAGAAUGGUAAGAAUAUAAAAGCCAACCAGGACAGAAUGCAGAUAAAAUCAGAGGAAAAGGAUGAAAGAAGCAAAGUUAAAGAAGAGGACCCAGGCAAAAAUGAGUCCGGUAGCACACUCAGUGAAUAGAAAGACAGUUAAGUCCAGUCUCAGGAGGUAAGACAGAAACUGCCAGAAUACACAUGAACCCUCUUAGAGAUUCAUAGUACAUAGAUUUAACAUGCUAAAAUGACAUACAUUAAACAUGUGCAAAAUUAGGUUGUCCUACAAUUUAGGGUUUCCACGCAACAAAGAAUGUCAGAAGUCUAAAAUCCGAUUUGCUACAUCCCCUUGUGCAUGCAGAAUGAGUGUUAGGGGUGAAGAGGAAUAAAAGUGCACAUUUAUUCAUCCUCUAUGGUCUCCUAGCCUUGGUAGGUUCCAUUAUUCGUAUUCCUUCUCAAAUUUCUCCCACACCAGCUCUUCCAGGGUGUUCACAGCUGGAGGAGGUAGAAAGUUCCGAGGCAGAUGGCCAUGUCACCUUGAGUAACCCUCAGGUGUUCUUCGUGAUGGGAAGAACCAUAUUUGUAAGCAGAGUAAGACACUUUGCAGUUCUCAAGUUUUCCCUCAGCUGUUCUCAAGGAUGACAUGAUCAAGAAACAGUAAGAGGCAAAUGGGAAGACUAUGCAAACCUUAGUUCAGGAAUUUCUACCCUGUACCCACUUCCACCCUAUGGGAAGACUAUGCAAACCUUAGUUCAGGAAUUUCUACCCUGUACCCACUUCCACCCUAUGCUCAGUAGCAGUAAUGAUUUUGACAACUGUCCCAAAGCAUUCAUUUCAUGAUGUCCUCUGCACUCUCAAAGACAUUUGAGUCAGAAAUAGAAUUUACUACUUCGGGUCCUUAUUCUAAAUUCUUUGAAUUCCCCUACUCACUAGCUUGUCAGCUGAAUUUGCUAAAAUGGCACUGUUACUGACCCCCCCAGAAUCCAGGUCAAAUUUAGCUAAUAUACUCUUACAGAUUAGAAAACGAGCUUGAUUCUGUUUUUCUUCUCAUGUAAGGAAGUGGAAUGUGUGAGUGUGUAGGUGGGGAGGUGGGGGCUGUCACUGAUUUCUGAAAUUGACUGAAUGAAAAUUAUCACAUCAUUUUGAUGUGUUAAAUACCCUAAAUCAUUCUCCAUGAUCAGAUAGUCUCUCAAAAUUUAAGAUGUCCUAUGGUUUCUUUUAGAUUUCUAAGGCUUAGGACCAUGAUUUUUCUUAAUGAGGCAAAAUGUUCAAUGUGCAGAGCAUCUCCAAAACUCCCCUUUCUGAAGGUUUUUCAGACAUCUGACAGGUAACCCCUGGCUAACCCAGCUAUCUACUGGACACAGGCAGCAAAGCCACAUCAAAUCAAUGAAUGCCAGACACACUUGGAUACACCUUCUAAUGUAUAUAAAAAUUGUAGAUGAUGUUUUUUAUGAAUAGUUUUUACUUUAAUAGUUUCUAUUUAAUGGAAUUUUCAUUUUAAUCCCUCUCUGAAUGCACAUGCAUUGAUACUAGUUAAAAGAAAAAGAAAGAAGGAAAGAAAGAAAGAAAGAGAAAGAAAGAAAGAAAAAAAGCCUGCUGCUCAGCAUUGCUGGAUUUAGAGGAUUCUUAGGAAAGUAAGGCAAGUCUCCAUGACAAUAUCCUGCCUUUGACACUGGUGAGGCCGACUCUGAAAUAACUGUGUGAAGACGUUUCCUACCAUGUGGAAUACAUUUCUCCCAGAUGCACUUACCAGGGUUGUGAAAAAGUAGUGAUAGUACUCGGUCAUCAUGCCCAUGAACAGAAUCUGCAAAAGAGAAAUAAGGGGAAAGAAUCAGGAACAGAAUUAUAAUAAGAAUGGGAUAAUUUCUAGGGUGACUGCAAAUGCUUGGAAACAUAGAACAGGAAGGGACUUUGGAAAUCCACAAACUCAGCAGAUCAGAAACCUGAGGCCAAUGAGUGGCUGGUGUGGAGCAAGCCAACUGACCUCCAGCCAACACUAUUUCCAUUACACACUGCUUGACCUACAUCGAAGUAAUGGGUUUGAUGAUCAAAUUUAAAAAUAGUUUGGGCCAGGUGCAGUGGCACAAGCCUUUAAUCCCAGCACUUUGGGAGACCGAGGCAGGUGGAUCACAUGAGGUCAGGAGUUCGAGACCAGCCUGACCAUCAUAGAGAAAUCCUGUCUCUACUAAAAAUACAAAAUUAGCUGGGCGUGAUGGCGCAUGCCUGUAAUCCCAGCUACUCGGGAGGCUGAGGCGGGAGAAUCGCUUGAACCUGGGAGGCGGAGGUUGCAGUGAGCCCAGACUGUACCAUUGCACUCCAGCCUGGGCAACAAGAGGGAAACUCCGUCUCAAAAAAAAAAAAAUAGUUUGUACUAAACAAAUUUUGUAUUUGGAGUUGUCCAUAAUGCACAGGGUUUUGUCUUUCCCACUGCCUAAGUGUCUGAGCCAUCUCAUACUUAGAAAUAUGUAUUUCAUUGAUCUCCCUACUUACGACUUAGCAUAAUGCCACCCUCAUUAUGAGUAGAACUCAUUAAAUGUUGAAUUGUCAAUACUGGUAUGUAGAUAUGUUUAAAUGAAGGUUUAUGAAUGAGUAUAUCUCUGAAACCUUUCUCUCUCCCCCUUUUCCAUGAGAAGGGGAAGAGAGGAUUCAUUUACAGAUAAAAGGAUAGGGACUAUUCUGACACCAAUUUCACACUGUUUCUUCAUGCUGGUUCUCAAAUAACUACUUGGGAUCGUAAUAGUUCCGGACAUUCUGUGAGCGUGUAUAUUGUUUUUACUUCGUGGAAGAAGGAAAAAAGGAGGUGGAUAGGAAGGACAGGGGUUCUACGUUCAUUGAACUGUGAUCUUACUUUUGGAGUCCCGGAAAUGGUGUCAACUGAGAAGAAGAUGCAAAUGGUUUGGAGACAAUUCUUUCUAAAUAUGAAUAAGGAUAUUCCUUUCCUUGGGAUAGAUUACCAAAAUAACUAUUUGGGUGCUUUUUUUAUUUUUAUUUUUUUUGUCUUUGCAUAGAAAUGAAGAGAGAAGGCCGGGUGCGGUGGCUCACGCCUGUAAUCCAGCACUUUGGGAGGAUGAGGCGGGCGGAUCAUGAGGUCAGGAGAUAGAGACCAUCCUGGUUAACACGGUGAAACCCCGUCUCUACUAAAAAUACACAAAAUUAGCCAGGCGUGGUGGCGGGUGCCUGUAAUCCCAGCUACUCAGGAGGCUGAGGCAGGAGAACGGCGUGAACCCGGGGGCGGAGCUUACAGUGAGCCAAGAUCGCGCCACUGCACUCCAGCCUGGGGGCCAGAGCGAGACUCAAAAAAAAAAAAAAAAAAAAAAAAAAAAAAAAAAAGAAAUGAAGAGAGAAGACUUAGAAAUCACAUUUCCAAGGUAGUUUUCCGCACAACUCUGGUCAAUUCUGGAUGCAAGUAAAAAUUCCCUCUGGAAGUUUUUAUAUCAAAGACUCUUAGACACCAUCACAGGGACAUCCUGAAUUGGGAUUUCUGAGAGUGUAGCCUUGAUUUCUGCAUUUCACAGCUGUGUCUGAAAAUCACUGCUCUAUGGAAAACAUGUACCUUUGCAUUAAAUAACAAAGACUUUCAGAUCUUCAGUUGAAGAGAUGGAUUGAAAAGGUCUGGGGAAAGACAUUGCAAGUUAUCAGCGGUUCUGGAAGGUGCCUAAGAUAUGUGAACUAGAAUGAUUUUACGUGAAAGGGAAUAAGAAAUAAAGAGGGUAUUAGAUGACAGCACAUAACUGCAUGAACACCAGUCCUACACUUCUCAACAACGUCUCUACUAACACGAAAACCAGAGGAAUAUUUAGUGAAAUUGCAAUGUCAUGAACUUAAGACAAAUGACAGGAAACUCCAUGAAUCAUCAGCCCACAGGAUAUAAGUCACUCCUACGGUGACAACAAGACCAGGCACACUAAAGGAUGUUUUUUUUCAAGGGUAGACUUGCUUUAGUGCCAUCAAUAACAUUUAAGGCCAUGCAUGGUGAGGUCUUGUUAGCUGUUCUCUUAUAUCAUUCGAGCAUAAAGAGCUGGCCUGCCAGGGUCAGUCAGAAAUCCUAUUUUUCACUUUGGUCAUUAGAUAGUGUAAUUGCAGCCAAGAUUACCUCUUGAAAGGGAACUGGGCAGGUUUCAUGUGAGGAUAUAGGGCUGAAUGCUAAGGUUUAAAAUUUUGUUUCUGAAACUGAAAAUAGAACACAAAGGCAUUUGAGUUUAUAGCUUUUCACUUGGGUAAAAUUUUUCUUUUUAAAUUUCAUUAUGGAGGCUUUGGAUCCCCUGUUAAGAGAUAAGCAUUUUUUUAAACAACCAUUUAACUGAUUAUUUUUAUUAUUGUAUUUUAAAAUUCCUGGAGGUAAAUAUUCAUUUGACAUGCCUCUCAGCGUUAGGAAAGAGAUAUUAAAAUGCAGCGAAUAAACAGCCAACAGGACAGCUGUUAUUGCAAAAAGAACCCUGGGGUCCUCCAGGUACACAUUUUAUUUGCUGUAGUAGAAAAAUUCCCGUUCCUUUUCCUAGCUAAUUGCUUGCAUUAGUGCCUCCUGGUUCUUCCCUUGAAUUUACUAGAAAUGGAAAUUAAGAAACGAGUCCAGUCAUUGAUCAUUGGCCUGUCAACUUUGUGGACACUCACCCAGGUGAAUGAAAAACAUCUUGAUAAGAACAACAAAGUCAACAGCACCAAAGGCGGUGCUUUUAAAGCAGUUGUUCUUGUGAUGGUCUUUAAGCAGCUGAGACCAGUAGCCCUGUCGUCUAAUUGUCGCAUACUUUGUAAAUAAAACGAUUGCAUUCCCAUUUUGAUUUUCUCUCUGCAUGUUGGUAUUUCAACUAAAAGUCAUUAAGGGAUUAAGAAAAUGUCACAUCAAAAUAAAUGUCAGUUUUAAAAAUAAAAAGUGUAAUCACGAUAUAGGGAGUUUUCUAAUAGUUCUUUGCAGAACUUACUUUUUCCUGAGAAUGACUUUGAAUUUUGAUACAGUACUUGUCUGCCGAACUGACCAAAUGGUGCUGACCUAGGCAGUAUGUAUACUUUAUUAGGGCGGUAUUGCUAGGAACCAUCUCUGGCUUUACUUAAUUGUCACAAUUAAUUUUUUUUUUUGGCAGAAAACACUUCAUG
rnacentral:lncRNA from 1 species